CGCGGCCUAUCAGCUUGUUGGUGGGGUGAUGGCCUACCAAGGCGACGACGGGUAGCCGGCCUGAGAGGGUGUCCGGCCACACUGGGACUGAGAUACGGCCCAGACUCCUACGGGAGGCAGCAGUGGGGAAUAUUGCACAAUGGGCGCAAGCCUGAUGCAGCGACGCCGCGUGGGGGAUGACGGCCUUCGGGUUGUAAACCCCUUUCAGCACAGACGAAGCGCAAGUGACGGUAUGUGCAGAAGAAGCACCGGCCAACUACGUGCCAGCAGCCGCGGUAAUACGUAGGGUGCGAGCGUUGUCCGGAAUUACUGGGCGUAAAGAGCUCGUAGGUGGUUUGUCGCGUUGUUCGUGAAAACUCACAGCUCAACUGUGGGCGUGCGGGCGAUACGGGCAGACUGGAGUACUGCAGGGGAGACUGGAAUUCCUGGUGUAGCGGUGGAAUGCGCAGAUAUCAGGAGGAACACCGGUGGCGAAGGCGGGUCUCUGGGCAGUAACUGACGCUGAGGAGCGAAAGCGUGGGGAGCGAACAGGAUUAGAUACCCUGGUAGUCCACGCCGUAAACGGUGGGUACUAGGUG
rnacentral:rRNA from 1 species